CCAAUAGCGUAUAUUAAAGUUGUUGCAGUUAAAAAGCUCGUAGUUGAAUUUCGGGAUCAAUAUAUCGGUCGUGCCUUGGUACGUACUGGUAUCAUUGGUUUCUCCUUUCUGACGAACCAUGAUGUCAUUAAUUUGGUGUUAUGGGAAGUUAGGACUGUUACUUUGAAAAAAUUAGAGUGUUUAAAGCAGGCUUUGGCUUGAAUACAUUAGCAUGGAAUAAUGAAAUAGGACGUUUGAACCUAUUUUGUUGGUUUCUAGGAUCAACGUAAUGAUUAAUAGGGAUAGUUGGGGGCAUUAGUAUUCAAUUGUCAGAGGUGAAAUUCUUGGAUUUAUUGAAGACUAACUACUGCGAAAGCAUUUGCCAAGGAUGUUUUCAUUAAUCAAGAACGAAAGUUAGGGGAUCGAAGACGAUCAGAUACCGUCGUAGUCUUAACCAUAAACUAUGCCGACUAGGGAUCGGAUGAUGUUGAUUUUUUAAUGACUCAUUCGGCGCCUUACG
rnacentral:rRNA from 1 species